rnacentral:rRNA from 1 species
GACGAACGCUGGCGGCGUGCUUAACACAUGCAAGUCGAACGGAAAGGCCCUGCUUGCAGGGUACUCGAGUGGCGAACGGGUGAGUAACACGUGGGUGAUCUGCCCUGCACUUCGGGAUAAGCCUGGGAAACUGGGUCUAAUACCGGAUAGGAGCCAUUUUUAGUGUGAUGGUUGGAAAGUUUUUUCGGUGUAGGAUGAGCUCGCGGCCUAUCAGCUUGUUGGUGGGGUAAUGGCCUACCAAGGCGGCGACGGGUAGCCGGCCUGAGAGGGUGGACGGCCACAUUGGGACUGAGAUAAGGCCCAGACUCCUACGGGAGGCAGCAGUGGGGAAUAUUGCACAAGGGGCGCAAGCCUGAUGCAGCGACGCCGCGUGGGGGAUGACGGCCUUCGGGUUGUAAACUCCUUUCGCUAGGGACGAAGCUUUUUGUGACGGUACCUAGAUAAGAAGCACCGGCUAACUACGUG